CCCUUCGCACUCACUCUCGCACCCGCCCACGCUCCACUGCUACCCCUCUGCGGAGCAGCGCCAACCACCGUUUGUUCAGCGAGGCGCUGGCAAGGCAGACACACACAGCUGAGUCACAGGCCGAGCCCUUGCCCACGAAGGCCACACAGUUAGACUACAAAGCAGACCCUUUGCCUGUCUCUCCACCCCGCGCCGCCACACGCCUCAGAAGCACUCGAACUCUGGGACAGACAGGGGCGCUGGUGAACCAGGAUAGGGGCUGGCACAGUGCUGGGCACUCCGCUGGAGCCCAGUAGGUCGGGGACUUUGUAGCUUUUUGUAAUGAGGUCACACAGAAGCCGAAGUAUGCCUAUGCACAAACUUCCCCUCGAUGACUCUGACAGGCGAGAUGCACUUUGUGAGCUCCAGACCCCACACAGAAACCCACGCUUCACAUCCGCACGCUCGCCGCAGAGCGACUUCACGCACGCGCGCUGACUCCUCCCCCCAGUCAGUUCCCCCAGGCUCCGCCUCUCAGGCGGACGUUCCCGUGCAACCUCUCUAUCCGCCCGGCCCCGUCCCUUCUGGCCUUCACCUCUAAUUGGACGCUGUCCCCUAUUGGCUCCGCCCUUCGGCGACGUGAGCUCGCUUCCCUUCGAGUCACGGCGCCGAGGGGACGGGGCUGGGCGGGGCGUCGGCGCCCUAUUGUCAUGGAGACGGGAAGCUGGCGGAGGUGGUGGCUGGCACAGCCGGGCUGAGGUGGCAGCGAGCCGGCCGAGACUGAGGUGAAGCCGAGCCGCCCGGAGCGCGCGCAGCCGGCCAGUGGCGGCCUCUCAGGCAGCCAAGGGGCAGUGUCCUCCGGGGCUCGGACUAGGCCCGGGUGGUCGCGGGGAGUGCCCCGGAGCGUCCCCGCCCUGCUCGCCUCGCUCCCGCCUCCUACGGCCCCUCAGCUCCCCAGCGCCCGCCCCCGGCUCCGCCCGCCGCCGCCGCCGCCGCCGCCGCCGCAGCCCCUCGCGCUAACGGUCGGUAGCGGCCCGCGCGCGCCGCCAGCCGGGGGCUCGCGCCAGCCACGAGGGAGCGUCCGUGGCUCGCGCGCCCGCACCGCGGAGGAGAGGUGAGCCCUGGGUCCCCCGUGCCACCGCGUCCCCGCCCCGUCGCGGCCGGGCUUCCUGCCUCUCGAGCCGCGUCCGCGUCCCCUCGUGGACCGGAUGGAUGCCGCGGUGCCCCGCGCGCCUCCGGGCGCCAGGUUAUAAGUAUGAUGCUUCCAUAAUACAUUUGGAUGUUUUCAGCUAAGUUUACUUCUGAACUCUGGGGUUCCUCCAAAUGUUGGCUGAAAUUUGUCCUUGCGCAUCCCCAGGCUCAUCUGCAAAAUCUACAGUCCAUAAUGGAGCUACUGUACUGGCUAUUGGAAGAAGGAGAUUCUGAAGAUAGGGAGGAAUUUGCCUGAGGGUGUGACACAGAUGAUCUCUGUUACUCGUCUUCGUUGUGUCCUGCAGUAAACUGGAUGCUGUAUAAAAUACUGGUCUCUUGGUUUCAAAUGCUAUUCAGCUAUCAGUCUUUGAAAUUUCCUGUGGUCUAUUCACUCUAGAUGCAAAGGACAUGGAAAAAUCAAGUGCUCAAGUGGUUGAAAUAUGUUUUGGACGUUCUUAUUUAUAGAUUGCAGUAUUUUUCCAAUUAAAUCUGCAGUUGUCAUGCAGAAAAAGGUUAUGCCCUUCUUGAUCACCAGUUUUAUUUGAAAUGCUUAGCAUUGUAUUUAUUACCAAAUGCUAUCUGUUUUAAUCAAAGUAUAGAAAAAAUGAAAUCAAUUUUAUAUGUUGACUUUUUUUUCUGAAAUGACUUUAUUAGAUUGAAUGAAUGUUUUUACCUGAAAAAGAGGGUUCCAAAAAAAAUCACUGUCUCCAUCAUACCAAUUCUGCUGGCAAUCUGAUAUCAUUAGAAUAGGUUUAAAAUCACUUUCUAAUGUGACUGUAUUAUAUUUAUUGGAGAAAAAAGACUUGAAACCUAUCCAUAUAUAUUUUUUAAUUCUCUAUAUUAGUCCCUCUGGAAUAGAACACUUUCUUCUCAAAAAAUCUAUUAGCUCAACUCAGAUACAAGAAAAAAAAUCAUCUUAACUGGCAGAGCAUUUGUUACGUGUUUGAAUGUUUGGUUUACAUAAAGAAGGUUGACAUCUAGUCUUCCACAGAGUUCUUAGUUUUGGGUAGACUGAAUAAUGAUGGUUUGCCUUGCCAUUGGGAAAUUCCAUGUUGUGGCCUUUGUGGUAGCUGUAGGAAAACGGAAGGAUUCCUCUGUGGCAGGCAGGCCUCUGGCUUCUGUGAUGUGAACACUGUUAAGGGGUAUGUCUGACCAGAGGUAGUCCAUAAUGAGGGAACUGGGGAGAUUCACAGAUGCUGAUAACACUGGAAGAAACAGUUGUGAGUGCCUGUUUUGUAAAUUACCCAAUUUGUACUUCAUCCACUUCUGUAGUUUUUAUAAAGAAAGUGCUAUGAUAAAUUCUUAAGCUCAGAUCUCUAUAUGGCAGAGUAAAUUUAUCAGGCUAGAGUGUUUCUUUUUUAUUUUUAAUUAAACUUUAUAUUUUGAGAUAAUUACAGAUUUCACAUACGGUCAUAAUAAAUAAUGGAGAGGUCCUUUGUACCCUUUACCUAGUUUCCCCCAAUAGUAUAGUGUACAGUACAAUAUCACCACCUGGACAUUGGCAUCAUUAUAGCCAAAAUACAGAACAUUUUCUUUACCACAAGGAAUCUUAUAUUGCCCUUUUAUAUCCAUCCUUGCUUCUCUCCUGCUCCUGUUCCUUAGCUUUAGCAACCACGAGGCUGUUCUCCAUUUCUAUAAUUUUUACUUUUUAAGAAUGUUGUAUAAAUGGAAUCAUACAGUAUAAAACCUUUUGGGAUUGAUUUUUCUCACUCAGCACAAUUUUCUGGAGAAUCAACUUGCAUAUUUCAAGUCUGUUCUCUUUAUGGUUGUCCCACAGUUUGUUUAACCAUUUACCAGUUGAGACUUAAGGGCUGUUUCUGGUUUUUCACUAUUAUGAAUAAAACUGCUAUAAACAUUCAUGUACAGAUUUUUGUGUUAAUGUUAAGUUUUCAUUUUCCUGGGAUAAAUGCCCAGGAGUGCGAUUGUGGGUCAUACGAUAAUUCGAUAGAGUAUUUCUUUUUAAGACUAGGAUUGAUUUUGUGUGUAUGGAAGGGGAGACAAAGAGGACAUCUACAUUUUUGUGGUAUUCUUGCUUUAACUGGAUUUGUUUACGAUUCCAAAACAUACGGACUGUCUUAAAUAACAUGUAGCUAGAUACCAAAAAACAUUUUUCCACAACCCAGAUUUUGUUCUUAUUUUUAGAGAAAUACUUUUGAGAAAAAAAUUGCUUUUUUGGAGGGUAAACAAUUUCUCUGCAAUGAAUAAAGGUAGAUAUACACUAUAGAAAAGAUGCUGCAAAGCUGACAGGUUACUUGGGGAAAUUUGUGGGAAAUUUCCCAAGUGUUAAUAGAGAGACUUGAUGUUCAAGGAUAUAUUGUAAUAGUUUCUAAAUUGGUAGACUCUAGCUUUUGUCACUGCCAUGUUGCCUGCAGUUUUUUUUUUUAAGCUCUUUAUUGGAAUAUAAUUGCUUUACACUCUCGUACCUUUUUGAGGUACACCAAAGUGAAUCAGCUGUAUUUAUACAUAUAUCCCCAUAUCCCCUCCCUCCCGCAACUCCCUCCCACCCUCCCUGUCCUGGCCCUCUAAGGCGUCACCCAUCAUUGAGUUGAUCUCCCUUUGUUAUACAGUAACUUCCCACUAGCUGUCUGUUUUACAUUUGGUAGUGUAUCUAUGUCUAUGCUACUCUCUCACUUCAUCCCAGCUUCCUCUUCGCCCCCUCCCCCCCAGCCCUGUGUCCUCAAGUCCAUUCUGUACAUCUGCAUCUUUAUUCUUGCCCUGUCACUGAGUUCAUCAGUACCAUUUUUUUAGAUUCCAUAUAUAUGAGUUAGCAUACGGUAUUUGUUUUUCUCUUUCUGGCUUACUUCGCUCUGUAUGACAGUCUCUAGGUCUAUCCUCCUCAUUACAUAUAGAUCAAUUUCAUUCCUUUUUAUGGCUGGGUAACAUUCCAUUAUAUAUAUGUUCCACAUCUUCUUUAUCCAUUCAUCUGUUGAUGGGCAUUUAGGUUGCUUUCAUGUCCUGCCUAUUGUAAAUAGUGCUGCAGUGAACAUUAUGGUACAUAUUUCUUUUUGGAUUAUGGUUUUCUCUGGGUAUAUGCCCAGUAGUGGGAUUACUGGGUCAUAUAUGGUAGUUCCAUUUUUAGUUUUUUAAGGAACCUCCAAACUUUUCCAUAGUGGCUGUACCAGCUUACAUUCCCACCAACAGUGCAGGAGAGUUCCCUUUUCUCCACACCCUCUCCAGCAAUUAUUGUUUCUAGAUUUUUUGAUGAUGGCCAUUCUGACUAGUGUGAGGUGAUACCUCAUUGUGGCUUUGACUUGCAUUUCUCUAAUGAUUAGUGAUGUUGAGCAUCUUUUCAUGUGUUUGUUAGCCAUCUAUACGUCUUCUUUGGAGAAAUGUGUAUUUAGGUCUUCCUCCCAUUUGUGGAUUGGGUUAUUUGCUUUUUUAGUGUUAAGCUGCAUGAGCUGCUUAUGUAUUUUGAAGAUUAAUCCUUUGUCUGUUGCUUCGUUGGCAAGUAUUUUCUCGCAUUCUGAGGGUUGUCUUCUUAUCUUUCUUAUGGUUUCUUUUGCUGUGCAAAAGCUUUUAAGUUUCAUUGGGUCCCAUUUGUUUAUUCUUGAUUUUAUUUCCAUGAUUCUAGGAGGUGGGUCCAAAAGGAUCUUGCUUUGAUGGAUGUCAUAGAGUGUUCUACCUAUGUUUUCCUCUAGGAGUUUCAUAGUGUCUGGCAUGACAUUUAGGUCUUUAACCCAUUUUGAGUUUAUUUUUGUGUAUGGUGUUAGGAAGUGUUCUAAUUUCCUUCUUUUACAUGUUGCUGUCCAAUUUUCCCAGCACCACUUAUUGAAGAGGCUGUCUUUUUUCCAUUGUAUAUUUGUGCCUCCUUUGUCAAAGAUAAGGUGCCCAUAUGUGUGUGGGUUUACCUCUGGGUUCUCUAUUCUGUUCCAUUGAUCUUCCUUUCUAUUUUUGUGCCAGUACCAUACUGUCUUGAUCACUGUGGCCUUGUAGUAUAGUUUGAAGUCAGGAAGCCUAAUUCCACCAACUCCGUCUUUCCCUCUCAAGAUUGCUUUGGCUAUUCGGGGUCUUUUGCAUUUCCAUACAAAUCAUAAGAUUUCUUGUUCUAGUUCUGUGAAAAAUGCCGUUAGUAUUUGAUAGGGAUUGCAUUGAAUCUGUAAAUUGCUUUGGGUAGGAUAGUCAUUUUCACAAUAUUGAUUUUUCUAAUCCAAGAACAUGGUAUGUCUCUCCAUCUGUUUGUAUCGUCUUUGAUUUCUUUCAUCAGUGUCUUAUAGUUUUCUGCAUACAGGUCUUUCGCCUCCUUAGGCAGGUUUAUUCCUAGGUAUUUUAUUCUUUUUGUUGCAAUGGUAAAUGGGAGAGUUUCCUUAAUUUUUGUUUUUGCUCUUUCGUUAUUAGUGUGUAGGAAUGCAAGAGAUUUCUGUGCAUUAAUUUUAUAUCCUGCUACUUUACUAAAUUCAUCAAUUAGUGCUAGCAGUUGUCUGGUAAAAUCUUUAGGGUUUUCUAUGUAUAUCAUGUCAUCUGCAAAGAGUGACAAUUUUACUUCUUUUCCAGUUUAGAUUCCUUUUCUUUCAUUUUCUUUGAUUGCUGUGGCUAACACUUCCAAAACUAUGUUGAAUAAUAAUGGUGAGAGUGGACACCCUUGUCUUGUUCCUGUUCUUAGAGGGAAUUCUUUGUUUUUCCCCAUUUAGAAUGAUGUUGGCUGUUGGUUUGUCAUAUGUGGCUUUGAUUAUGUUGAGGUAAUUUCCUUCUAUGCCCAUUUUCUGGGGAGUUUUUUUUAUCAUAAAUGGGUGUUGAAUUUUGUCAAAAGCUUUUUUCUGCAUCUAUUGAGAUGAUCAUAUGGUUUUUAUCCUUCAAUUUGUUAAUAUGAUGUAUCACAUUGAUCGAUUUGUGUAUAUUAAAGAAUCCUUGCAUUCCAGGGAUAAACCCCACUUGAUCAUGGUGUAUGAUCUUUUUAAUGUGCUGUUGGAUUCUUUUAGCUAGUAUUUUGUUGAGGAUUUUUGCAUCUAUAUUCAUCAGUGAUAUUGGCCUGUAAUGUUCUUUUUGUAUGACGUCUUUGCCUGGUUUUGGUAUCAGGGUGAUGGUGGCCUCGUAGAGUGAGUUUGGGAGUUUUCCACCUUCUGCUAUAUUUUGGAAGAGUUUGAGAAGGAUAGGUGUUAGCUCUUCUCUAAAUGUUUGAUAGAAUUCACCUGUGAAUCCAUCUGGCCCUGGGCUUUUGUGUGUUGGGAGAUUUUUAGUCACAGUCUCAAUUUCAGUGCUUGUGAUUGGUCUGUUCAUAUUUUCUUUUUCUUCCUGGUUCAGUCUUGGAGGAUUGUAGUUUUCUAAGAAUUUAUCCAUUUCUUCCAGGUUAUCCAAUUUGUUGGCAUAUAGUUGCUUGUGGUAGUCUCUCAUGAUCUUUUGUAUUUCUGAGGUGUCCAUUGCUACUUCUUUUUCAUUUCUCUUUCUGUUGAUUUGCAUCUUCUCCCUCUUUUUCCUGAUAAGUCUGGCUAAUGGUUUAUCAAUUUUGUUUAUCUUCUCAAAGAACCAGCUUUUAGUUUUAUUGAUCUUUGCUAUUGUUUCCUUCAUUUCUUUUUCAUUUAUUUCUGAUCUGAUCUUUAUGAUUUCUUUCCUUUUGCUCACUUUGGGGUUUUUUGUCUUUCUUUCUCUAAUUGUUUUACGUGUAAGGUUAUUAGGUUGUUUAUUUGAUAUUUUUCUUGUUUCUUGAGGUAGGACUGUAUUGCUACAAACUUCCCUCUUAGAACUGCUUUUGCUGCAUCCCAUAGGUUUUGGGUUGUUGUGUUUUCAUUGUCAUUUGUUUCUAGGUAUUUUUUUUAUUUCCUCUUUGAUUUCUUCAGUGAUUUCUUGGUUUUUUAAUAGCGUAUUCUUUAGUUUCCAUGUUUGUAUUUUUUACAGUUUUUUUCCUGUAAUUGAUAUCUAGUCUCAUGGUGUUGUGGUCAGAGAAGAUGCUUGAUACAAUUUCAAUUUUCUUGAACUUACCGAGGCCUGCAGUUUUUAUUUGUAAAAUGAAUUCAUUACCUUUACAAUGAUUGCAGUUAAUGUCCAUCUAAUUCAACUAUAUGCACUUAGGAAGAAAAAGAAGGAAAUAGAAAACAAUAAGUAUCUUUUCUAGUACAUGGCUCCUAAAAGGCAACCAUUGAUACUUUACAUGAUGCUUAAUGAAAGAAAGAGCUCUGUUCCUAACCCUGGUGGAGAUCAUACUGUUAUACUUACUGAGACAUAGUGAGGCAUGUACAAAACCAUCAAUGCUAUAUUUUGGGAGAGAUCCACUGAAAGGAUUUUCAAGGAUAAUUUUUAUUCUGAUUUUCCACCAUAUAUAUUGAUUUUAGAAAUCUUACUGAAGAUGUAGCUCCAUUUCUUUUUUAGAAACAUUGGAUGCCAUUAACUGGUUACAGUAAUCCUUGUAACAAAAGUCAAUAUUUUAAGUCUUUAACCUUUCUGAAUGAGGCCCUAGGCCCUAACCCCAGUCAUGCAGUGCUCCUAAAUAUAGUUUAAUCUUUAGCCCAUUAUGGUCAUGACCACAGUGAUAUAAAUGACAAGAUAAUAAAAUAGUCUUUGCCCUUAAAAAUGAUCUGGACAAAAGAUAGUAUGGACAUAUGGAAUCUUUGAAUACCAGUAGUUACUCAUGAAGCAGCUAGGGAAGGAUCCCCUGUCUAGCACUUCUAGGCACUGGGACCCUAAUGGUAAAGAAGAGCAAUUCGGGCCCUGAUCCCUUUGCAUGGUUCUUAUGGUUCUUAGAUUGGGGGGUGGGGGGUGGGAACAGGGAAGAGAUAGAAACCAACCUGAGUAUGUGUUACUAGAAAUACAGAACCUUCAGAAUUUAGGAGAGAGACUAGGAAAGCUGAAACUGCAGGAGCAGGCCUCACAGAAAAUGGCAGGCUUGAAUUGGGAAGAAGCCUAUAUGUGACACAGAGAAGGAGGACAUCAGGAGGAGAGGGAAAGGAGCUGUAGUGUGGUCUGUUGGAAGUGAGGUGCAAUCUGGUCUGGCUAGAAUUUCCUGGCCAGUAUCAGGAAAUCAGCAUCAAAACAGUAUGUGACUGCCCCAAAGUAUACUUAACAGCUUCCUGUGUUUUAGGAACUAAUCAGAAAUGUGGCAUGCUUUCUUUAGAGUAAUGUGUGAAUUUAAAUAUGGAUAAUAAUGGAAAAAUAAAUGGAUAUUCUUCUUAAAACCAGGACUUAGAAGUAUCUUUUAGGUCAUGAGGCUCAGUCUGUGUGUGUGUGUAUGUGAAAAACAGUAUUAUUUUCCCCCUUUUAUGUUUGAUAAGGAAUAAGAUAUUUUGUUCCUUUCUGAUGUCUUAAAUGCAUAAUCUCUAAGACCAUAAUAUUUUGUUUUAUUUAUUUUAGGCUUAAAAUAAAAGAACAAAGUUCUUUUAGAAGAGCUCCAAAAUUAAAACUGCAAGAUCAAAUAUAGAUAAAAGUUACAUAAAGAGUACAUUUACAAGAUGGUACAUAGAAUAUAGAUAUUUCUGUGCUUUUUUUUCCCUAAGUGUUUAAGAUAGUAAGAGAGCUGAGAACCUUUUCUAAAUAUGCAUCCAAUUUUAGGAGGCUAAACUAGGAUGCUCUAAUAUAACUGAGGCCCUUUAAGUCAGGAGCUUGGAAAAAGGAAGCCACCUAAGGGAGUAUUAGAGUUUCUUUAAAUUUAUAUAAAUCAUAGAUUUGAUCAAAGUGGUUAUAAGAGACAUCAAAAUUAAGAUACUCAGGAUUUUGUACGUAAUAAUACAGAUUCCAGUGCCGCCAUUGCCAAUGAAGAGGCCAAAAUGAAUUGUGUUUUACGGAAAUGCUACAUUAGGUGGGCGACUUAAAAGUUCUGAGUACACAUAAUGACCCAGCAAUGUAGAAUCGUCUUGUAAUACUGUUUAUCUAACAGUUUAAAAAAAAAAAGAAAAAGAAAAUGAUGCUAUUUUAAACAGUUAAAAAAAAUUUUUUUUACAAAUACUGCAAAUCAUAGGUUGGUUACCACUAGACUUCCUGACUCUGCUGUGAUUGCUGUAUUCUCUGUAUAUUCUUUUAAAAUACCAGGCACUUUAUAAUUUUGUCUAUAAUUGUUUAUAUAUAUUUCCUCCACAAAAUGUUUUUAGAACAACUUAUUGCUAAAUUACCUUAACCUACCUGCCAUCUUUAAACUUUAUGUAUGAAUAUACUGAAGUGUCAGUUGCAAGGCACAUUAGCAGACUAUGUAAUUUUUUUUCUCCAGGAGUCUUUUUAUUCAAAACACCUUUCAAACUCAGUGCAUAAAAAUAGCAGGCAGCUUCCACUUGGAGGCUUUUUAAGCUGGAGAAGAUGUGUUUUUCACGUGAAGAAACUGAAUCCCAGGAAGAUGAAAUGCCUUGCUAGUAAGUGGUAAUAAGGAUCGUUCGACGGACUCCAGAGCAAAUGCUGCCAACUUGAAGAUGUUUGUCUGCAAUUCUGGAAAUUCAGUCUACAGAUGCUUGUAUCACAACUGUAUUCUUCAUAAUAUUUUAUUCUGUACAUGUCAGAAAUAAAUGUCUACUUGCCAUCUAUACACAUGCAAACAUUUUGGCAUCCAGUAUGGGUACAAGUAACAAGUUAAAGUAUGUUAAUCUCAAAACUGAAUUUUAACCAAUAGAAUGUUCCAUGUAUUCAUUAUUAUUUAUACAUACCUGCUGGGUUUUAACAUUGUGAUAAAUCCAGGGAAUCAAAUAUGAAUACAAUAUAUUCCCAGAAUUCAACAAAGUGGGCAUUGGGCUCAGGCCUGGAGAUGGUGAACAGCAGGCAGUGUUUGCCUUUGUGGAGCUUGGAGCUUAGCGUCUACUGUGGCUACAGAGGUAAAAGCAGACCAUUACAGCACAGCACGAUGAGAGGGAAAGGCCAGGUGCUGUGGGGCCACAGGGGCAGAUUCCCCAGCCAAGCCUGACAGAGGGUGGGCAAAAUCAAGGAAGGCUUCCCAGAGGAGAGGGGCAUUGGGGUUGAGCCCUGAAGGAAGAGGGAACAAAGAAAGACAAGGGAGAGCGUGGUGCAUUUGGCAGUUUGAAAGGAGCAGGAGAGGUGCAUGAGGAGAUGAGAGAGAUGAGAUGAGAGUAGGCAGGGGCCAGGCUGCGAAGGGCGGUUUAUACACCGAACAGUGCAGCUGGGACUUCAUUUCACUUUCACCUGAUCAGCUCUGCGUCGCAGAGGUAUUACUUUCGGUGGCAGCAUGGGGAGUGCAUUGACUAGUUCAGUGGUUUUUGCAAGUAACUGUCCGCGGGUGAGAAAAGCUGUGGGAGCUGAGAAAGUGGCCAGAGGAAGGAGCAAUGCCAGCGGGUUGAUGGGAGAUACUAAGAUGCUAGAAAUAAAAGGACGUGUGACUGACUGGUUCCAUAUGAGGGUAAAGGAAAAGCAUGUCAACAAUGGUGUCGAGAAGGCUACAGCAGUUAGGUCGUGGUGGUGGUGUUUUGAGGCAUGGAACCUGGGAGAAGGAGGUCUAACCGGAGAAAAGACAGUGUGGGCCGAGCAGUUGGUUUUGCGGGCCUAGUAGAAUACCCAGGGGAUUUGGAACUCACAAUCUAGUAGCAGGCAGGGAACACAAUCUGUUCUUUCAGAGCGGUCCAUUUUCUUUUCUCUGAAAGGCAGAUUUCUCAAAAAAAAAAUGUUUUCUUUCAUUAUUAAAUGAGUUUUCCCUUUUUUUUCUUGUGUGAUACAGCUGUAACGGUCCUGUGAAAAGCAAGUCUGAGACGAACUGUUCAAUAUUAUUGGGCAAUGUUUGCUUUUUAAAAAAGAUGGGGUUCAGAAGGAUAUAAAGGAAGGAAAGUGAAUGUUCCUGGCUAUAGCUGUCCCCUAAACCGUUCAGUGGAUUAAGUAUACUAAAUUUCAGUUGUGCAGAGGGAUUUAUAGAUAGAGAGGGAGGGGUAAAACAUUUCCUGGAAAAAAGCACUGGAGAAUAUUUUUGUUUUUAGAAACUUGGUGAGUUUGGAUUACAACAUAUGUUUAAGUGAUUAGUAAGUAACAUUAUCUGGAUCAUAUUACUUCCAACAUUCACCCACAAGUCCUUACUCAGCACAUACUGGGUACUGGGUACUGGGCAGCAUUGGCUGUCAAGUAGAGACCACAGUGGGCAUGGUCCUUCCCUCACAGAGUUUAUAGUCUAGCUGGAGGAUUAUAAAUCCUAAAGGUAGCUUUUUAUGAUAUUUCUGUCUGUGUCUAUUUAAUAUAGUUGACAUACAUUGUGAAGACAGCUUAAAUGACUCUCAAAUCCCAUGUAAAAGAACACUUACGCCUCCAGAGGGCACUGCCAUUUUCAAAGGAGGAAGAGAAAGAAAGGAUUCAGGUUGCCUUGACUUUCUAUUGAGGUGGGGCUGCUGGAAUUGUUCUUCAGAGCAGGGAGUUGGAGCAUAUGUGGACAGUAGCUCCUGAGUGGCUAAGAAAUAGAGUUGUGACUUGUUUGCUCAAAAGGGUCCAUAUUCCCCACCAGAGUGGUACAUUUGUUACAGUUGAUGCACCUGUAUUGACACCAUCACCCAAAGACCAUAGUUUACAUUAAAGUUAACUGUUGGUGUUUUACAUUCUCUGGAUUUGGACAAAUGUGUACUGACAUGUAUCCACCAUUAGAGUAUCAUACAGAGUAGUUUCACUGCCCUAAAAAUCCUCUGUGCUUUACCUACUCAUCCAUUCCUCUCCACUAAUCCCUGACAGCCCCUGAUCUCUUUACUGUCUUCAUAGUUUUGUCUUUUCCAUAAUGUCGUGCUGUUAGAAUCAUCAAGUACUUAUUUAACCUUUUCAGAUUGGCUUUUUUUAGUUAGUAAUAUAAUUUAAGGUUUCUCUAUGUCUUUUCAUGGGUCUUUCUAACUCAUUU